rnacentral:rRNA from 1 species
GUACGGGAGGCAGCAGUGGGGAAUAUUGCCACAAUGGGCGCGAGCCUGAUGCGAGCCAUGCCGCGUGUAUGAAAAAGGCCUUCGGGUUGUAAAGUACUUUCAGUCGUGAGGAAGGUGUUAAGGUUAAUAACCUUAGCAAUUGACGUUAGCGACAGAAGAAGCACCGGCUAACUCCGUGCCAGCAGCCGCGGUAAUACGGAGGGUGCGAGCGUUAAUCGGAAUUACUGGGCGUAAAGGGCACGCAGGCGGUUAAUUAAGUUGGAUGUGAAAUCCCCGGGCUUAACCUGGGAAUGGCAUUCAAGACUGGUUAGCUAGAGUCUUGUAGAGGGGGUAGAAUUCCAUGUGUAGCGGUGAAAUGCGUAGAGAUGUGGAGGAAAUACCGGUGGCGAAGGCGGCCCCUGGACAAAAGACUGACGCUCAUGUGCGAAAGCGUGGGGA